rnacentral:rRNA from 1 species
CCUACGGGUGGCAGCAGUGAGGAAUAUUGGUCAAUGGGCGGGAGCCUGAACCAGCCAAGUCGCGUGAGGGACGACGGUCCUAUGGAUUGUAAACCUCUUUUGUCGGGGAACAAAGGCGCCCACGGGUGGGCGGAUGAGUGUACCCGAAGAAAAAGCAUCGGCUAACUCCGUGCCAGCAGCCGCGGUACUACGGAGGAUGCGAGCGUUAUCCGGAUUUAUUGGGUUUAAAGGGUGGGUAGGCGGACAGUCAAGUCAGCGGUAAAAUUGCGGUGCUCAACGCCGUACAGCCGUUGAAACUGGCAGUCUAGAGUGGGCGAGAGGUAUGCGGAAUGCGUGGUGUAGCGGUGAAAUGCAUAGAUAUCACGCAGAACUCCGAUUGCGAAGGCAGCAUACCGGCGCCCGACUGACGCUGAGGCACGAAAGCGUGGGUAUCGAACAGGAUUAGAUACCCGGGUAGUC